CGGAUGUUAGAAACACUGGCCAAUUCCAAUGCCAAUAUUCAAGGGCCAAUUAAUGACAUCCCAUUGCAAGUUGUACAACCGAACAUGAUAACAACAUAUGCUCCACUAGCGUCAUCGAACCAAGUACCCUCUGUAUCAAUAGGACGACCAAAAUCAUUUUCUAAUCCUACAUGGAACAAGCCUAGUAGGUAUAUAUCGAUGGAGACACCCAAUAUGCGUGAUGGAGGUA
rnacentral:lncRNA from 1 species